CGGUAGCUCAGUGGAUAGAGCGUCUGCCUCCGGAGCAGAAGGCCGCAGGUUCGAAUCCUGUCCGGG
rnacentral:tRNA from 2 species